CCUACGGGGGGCAGCAGUGGGGAAUUUUGCGCAAUGGGGGCAACCCUGACGCAGCAACGCCGCGUGAGUGAAGAAGGCCUUUGGGUUGUAAAGCUCUGUCAGAGGGGAAGAAAUGCAGGUGGUGAACAACCAUUCUGUUUGACGGUACCCUCAAAGGAAGCACCGGCUAACUCCGUGCCAGCAGCCGCGGUAAUACGGAGGGUGCGAGCGUUGUUCGGAAUUAUUGGGCGUAAAGCGCGUGUAGGCGGUUUGUUAAGGCUGAGGUAAAAGCCCCGGGCUAAACCUGGGAAGUGCAUUGGAUACUGGCAGACUUGAGUACGGGAGAGGAGAGUGGAAUUCCCAGUGUAGGUGUGAAAUCCGUAGAUAUUGGGAGGACCACCGGUGGCGAAGGCGGCUCUCUGGACCGAUACUGACGCUGAGACGCGAAAGCGUGGGGAGCAAACAGGAUUAGAUACCCUUGUAGU
rnacentral:rRNA from 1 species